rnacentral:misc_RNA from 1 species
GUUUAAUGAGGAUCUGUCAUAUGUUAAACGUUUUUUUAGUUAAAGAUUCUUGUUGUUUAUUUAAUGUGAAUAAUUCAGAAAGUACUUUUAUAGUUAACAUAUAAAUAAAGUAGUUUUUAAUCAAUGAAUGUGCUAAACCCCGAAUUAAUUUGGGUAGAUGGUCGGUGUUAUAGAUUCUUAGGAAAUACCGAAUUGUCACAUAGCCGCGAUCCUUACUUUGAAGAAAAUUAUCAAAUGGAUUAUAAAGAUUCUGAAGAUGAAUGUUAUGAUACUGACAUAGAAAUUGUUCCAUAUGGGGCGACUACGUUUAAACAUACAUUUUAUGUACCAAAACCAUUUUUUCCAUUUAUUGUUGGAUCUAAACAUGCAGUACGUAAAAGAUUACAAGCUGAAACUGGAACUUUAAUACAAGUUCCAAGAUUUGGUCAAGGUGGAGAUAUUGUAAUAAUCGGUGCCAAUCGUAAAGAAAUAAGGACAGUGCGUCGUAGAAUAAAUUUAUUAAUCGAGGCAACAAGAAAAAAAAUAAAAAGUACACACUUCUUGUCAAUACCUUUAAAUGAAGGUCAUAUAAUAAUGAAAUUUAAUAUGUUUAAAAAUGAAGUAUUAACAAAUUCAGGAAAAACAUCCAGAGGUGUGGAUGAAAUGAUUUUUCAGACACCAAGUAAAUUACAUCUUACUAUUGCAUUAUUGACAUUACUUGAUGAUACAGAAAGGAAUCAAGCUUCAGAAGCUUUAUAUUAUUGUAAUGAGCAUAUUAUAAAGCCUAUAAUAGAAAAAUAUGGGCAGAUUUCUAUAUACAUACAAGGAACUGAAAUAAUGAAUGAUGACCUUAGUGAAACAAAAGUUUUAUAUGCAAAGGUAUUUUGUAAGAAUGAAAUUUUACAAAAGAUUGCAGAUGAAAUUGUAAAUUAUUAUUCCACCAUAGGUUUAUUAUCUAAGAAAUCUGAAAAAGUUAAAUUACAUCUUACUCUUAUGAGUUCGAGAUUUAAAUUAAAGAACGAAGAGGAACAUAGUGGCAAAUUUAUAACAUUUGAUGGAACAGAAAUAAUGAAAACUCAUGAAAAUACAUUCUUUGGAGAAACCACAUUAAAACAAAUUCAUUUAUCACAACUUGGUACAAUUAGUAGUAAUGGGUAUUAUCAAGCAAUUGCAAAAAUUAAUUUACUUGAAAAUUUAUAAAUGAUAAGUACCAUUAUUAUAUCUAUACACACAGAUAUAUUUUAAAACAUAAAGAUUAUAAGAUGGUAUCAUAUAAGAGAAACUUGCUUGACAAAUCAAAUACAAUGUUGCGUGUGUAUAUGAUCACCAUCCGGGAUCGCGUAUGGCUAUGUAUUUGGCGAGUGUUUGCACGAAUUGGGCAAUAAUUCUAUGCUGACUCGUGAAAUAUAAGGAAUAGAAAAAGCGACUAAGCUUACGAUGUCAUGGGAAACGUCCUACAGCAAUCGGACUAAACGUAGACAGCUCGUGUGAGAAACACGGUAAUCGAGUUAAACGUCUCUCAAAUGAGAUGCGACAAUCGGGUCAAACCUACACACCACGUCUCAGAAACGUAGUAUAUCGUUCGGGCUACAUGUGAUAAACAGUUACUAAGUCGUUAAAAAUAUCUUUCAAAAGAAUAUUAACCCUUUGAGCGCUGAGUUGUGCGACGUUAAACGUACGCUGUGGACCGCCCAAUUCUUAUGACAGAGCACGCGCUGGGCUGCCUGCUUUUUACGACGAAGCGCAUGCUGCGCUAACUGAAAUUUCAUUGCAAAAUAUGUUGAUUGUAACUGAAAUAAUUUGAGCAGUGACUGCAAAAACCUUAACAGGACCAUUUAUUUCAUUAAGCAAUAAUAACAUAUAAAAAAUACAAUAUACAAAAU